rnacentral:lncRNA from 1 species
UUAUAUUAUAUGCAAAUGGCUUAAAUAUGUCAGCUAAAAUACAAAGAUUAUCAGAUUAGAUAACAAGAACAUCAAAACCAUAAGAAUACAAUUAUAUGGUAUCUACAAAAGGUACUUCCAAAAUAUAAGGUAGAGAAAGGUCUAAAAUGAAAAUAAGAAAAAAGAUGUAUUAUUCACACUAUAAUUGAAAGAAGCUGGUAUAGCUAUUUAAUAAACUAAUGCUGGGGCCCGGCAUGGUGGCUCUCGCCUGUAAUCCCAGCACUUUGGGAGCUCAAGGCGGGUGGAUCACUUGAGUUCAGGAGUUGGAGACCAGCCUGGCUAACAUGAUGAAACCCAUCUCUAUUAAAAAUACAAAAAUUAGCCAGGUGUGGUGAUGCAUGCUUGUAGUUCCAGCCACUUGUCUCAGAAAAAAAAAACAACAACCUAAUUUUGGUAUAUUCAUACAAUGGAAUACCAUGCACCAUAAAAAUUGAUUAACUGCAGUUGUACAUAACAACAUAAAUGAAUCUCACAUAUAUAAUGUUAGAUGAAAGAAACAGGACACACACACACACACACAUUCAGUGUGAUUCUAUUUACAUAUUUUUAAAACAGGCAAACUAAAUUAUAUCACUUAGAAAUGCAUAAACAAAUGGAAAAUUUUAAGCAAGAAACUGAAUUUUGCAAAAGUCAUAAUGGUUAUUUCUGAUUAGGGAAGGAAAAGAUUAUGAUUAGAAGUGACACACUGGGGGCCUCUGUAGUGGUCACAGUAUUAGCUUCAUUAAAUUUUGCAUAUAUAUGUGUAUAUAUGUGUGUGUGUAUAUAUACACACAAUUUUGCAUAUAUAUGUAUAUAUAUACACACAUAUAUGUGUACAUACACACAAUUUUACAUAUAUGUGUGUGUGUAUAUAUAUACACACACUCACAAAUGCCACUAGUGUGGAUUAUAGCUGAAGAAAUGGAUAACACACUACUUAUUAAUGUAGAACAAAGGCCAGUGCACCCCACCAAACUGAUACCCCCAAACUCACUUAUAUGAAUAAGUGUAUGAAACCUAUGAGGUUUCCCUAUGAAACCUACUCCAUAAAAUUGCUGAAGGCAACUUUUCCAUCAGAUGUGUAAAAUUAAUGUAGGGAUACAUCAAACAUUAGAAAGCAAGGAAAACAGUAAUUCUCCAUUAACAGUCCAUAAUUAUAAGAAAAUCUGUGAAAGGUGGAGAAAAAUGUAAAAUAAUAGUCAUAAGGAAACUCAGUGAGAUACAAUAAAAUGCAGACGUACAAACUCAAUAAAGUCAGGAAAGCAAUUCAUGGUUUGAAUUGAUUUGAAUGAGAAAUUCAACAAAGAGACAGAUAUCAUAAAAAAGGUAUCAUAAAAAAGAACCAAACAGAAAUCCUAGAGCUAAAUAAUUCAAUGAAUAAAACAAAUGAAAUUGAUAGCUUCAACAAAAGACUAGAUCAAGUAGAAGUAACAAUUUCUAAACUGAAAGAUAGGUCUUUUCAAACAACUCAGGAAGUAGAAGCAGCAGAAGCAGGAGGAGGAGAAGGAGGAAAAGAAGAAGAGGAAGAAGAAGAGGAGGAAGAGGAGGAGGAAGGAAAAGAAGAGGAAGAAGAAGGAGGAGGAGGAGAACAAGAAGAAGAAAAGGAAGAAGAAGAGGAGGAGGAAGAAGAAAUAAUGAAGCAAGGAUAUCAGAUUUAUAGGGCACUAUUACACCAAGAAAUAUUCAUAUUAUGGGUGUUCCAGAGGCAGAAGACAUGGGAAAAGGUGAGAAAAACACAUUUAAUAAAAGAAUAGCAGAAAACUUCGCAAGUUUUGAGAGAAAGGUGGACAUCCAGGUCUAGGAAGCUCAAAGAAUUCCAAAUAGAUUCAACCCAAACAGGUCCUCUCCAAGGUACAUAACAGUCCAAUUGUCAACAGUCAAAGACAAAGAAUUCUAAAAUCAGCAAGUGAAAAGUGUCAAGUCAAACUUAAGGGAAUCCCCAUUAGACUAAGAGCAGAUUUCUCUACACAAACAUUACAGGCCAAGAGAGAAUGGGGCAAGAUAUUGAAAGUACUGGGAAAAAACCCCUGUCAACUAGGAAUAUUAUACUCAGCAAAGCUAUCUCCUUCAGAAAUAAAGGAGAAAUAAAGUCCCAGACAAGCAAAACAUAAGGGAAUUCACUAUCACUAACCUGAUUUUAUAAGAAAUGCUCAAGGGAGCCUUGCAUCUGAAAGUGAAAAGAUAAUAAUGUGAACCCAAAAUAUCUGAGACAGGUCGCAGUCAAUUUAGAAAGUUUAUUUUGCCAAGGUUAAGGAUGCACCCAUGACACAGCCUCAGGUGGUCCUGAGGCUUGGACAUGUGCCCAAGGUGGUUGGGGAAUAGCUUGCUUUUAUGCAUUUCAGGGAGACAUGAGACACUUCAGGACAACUUGAAGUGGGGGCUUCCAGGUCAGAAGUAGAUAAGAGACAAAAGGUUGCAUUCUUUUAAGUCCUCGAUCAGCUUUCCACUGAAUACACAAUUUAGUCUGGCUUGGUGCAUCUGCAUUGUUACAUAAAGAAUAAGACAGAGGAAACAAUCAGAUAUCCAUUUGUCUCAGGUCAACCUCAGAGGGAUGACUUUGAAUUCUGUCCUUUGCCCACAAGGAAUUUCCUUGAGACAAGGAAAUUCCAAGUCUCAAAACACUAAAACAUCAAAAUUAUGUCAAAUAUCUUAUGUGACCACAGUGGAAUAAACUAGACAUCAAUUACAAGAGGAACAUUUAAAACUAUGCAAAUACAUGGGAGUUAGAAAACAUGCUUCUGAAUGACCAAUGAGUGAAGGAAUAAAUUAGGAAGGGAAUUUAAAAAUUCCUUGAAACAAAUGAAAAUAGAAACACAACAUACCAAAACCUAUGGGGCACAGCAAAAGAAGUGUUAAAUGGCAAAUUUAUAGCAAUCAAUGCCUACAUGAAGACACUAGAAAUAUUUCAAAUAAACAGCCUGAUGAUGCACAAAGAUACAAAUCUACCAAAAGAAGAAAAAACCAAAUCCAAAAUUAGUAGAAAAAGGGAAAUAAUGAAGAUCUGAGAAGAAAUAAACAAAAUUGAAGCUAAAAAAUACAAAAGAUCAAUGAAACAAAAAUUUGGAUUUUUGAAAAGAUAAACAAAAUAGACAAUUAGCUAGACUAACUAAAAAAGAGAGAAAACCAAGUAAAUAAAAUCAGAAAUGAAAAGGGGAUGUCACAAUGGAUAUCACAGAAAUACAAAGGAUAAUUAAAAACUACUAAAAAUAACUAUAUUUCAAUAAAUUUGAAAACCUCAAGGAAAUGAACAAGUUCCUGGACACAUACAAACUCUUGAGAUUUAACCAAGAUGAAAUAGAAAACCUGAACAGAGUGAUAAGAAGUAAUGCAAUUGGGCUGGGCACGGUGGCUCACGCCUGUACUCCCAUCACUUUGGGAGGCUGAGCUGAGCAGAUCACAAGAUCAGGAGUUUGAGACUAGCCUGGCCAACAUGGUGAAACCCUGUCUGUACUGAAAAAAUACAAAAAUUAGCCAGGCAUGGUGGUGUGCACCUGUAAUCUCAGCUACUCAGAAGGCUGAGGCAGGAGAAUUACUUGAACCCAGGAGGCAGAGGUUGCAGUGAGCCAAGAUUGCACUGCUGCACUCCAGCCUAGGUGACAGAGUAAGUCACACACACAUACACACACACAAAAGAAGUAAUGAGAUUGAAUUAGUAAUAAAAAGUUCCCCAAAAAAGAAAAGUUCGGGACUGAAUGGCUUUCCUAUUGAAUUCUAUUGCUCCUUUAAAUAAGAAUUAAUACCAAUUUUUCUCAAGUUAUUCCAGCAAUGUUGAAGCAGUGGGAAUUCUUCCUAAUUUAUUCUAGGAGGUCAGCAUAACCCUGAUACCAAAACUAGGCAAGAACAGAACAGCAACAAAACAAUCUACAGGCCAAUAUCCCUGAUGAACAUAGGUGGAAAAGUUCUCAGUGAAACACUAGCAAACUGAAUCCAAAAUUACAUCAGAAAGAUGAUACACCAUGCUCAGGUGAAAUUUAUGCCAGCAAUUCAAGGAUGGUUCAACAUAUACAAAUCAAUAAACAUCAUUAUUACAUCAAUAGAAUAAAGGACUAAAACCGUGUCAUCAUCUCAAUAGAUGAAGCAAAAGCAUUUGAUUAAAUUCGACAUCCCUUCAUUAUCAAAAUUCUCAGUAAAUUAGGUACAGAAGGAAAGUACUUCAAUAUAAUAAAAGCUAUGUGUGACAUAACCACAGCUAACAUUUUAUUCAAUGGGAAAAAGCCAAAAGCUUUUCUCUUAAGAACUGGAACAAUACAAGGAUGUCCACUCUCAUUGCUUUUGUUCAACGUAGUACUGGAGGUCUUGUGCAGUGCAAUUGCCAAGAGAAGAAAAUAAAUGGCAUCCAAAUUGGAAAGGAGGAAGUCGAAUUUUUCUUUGCAGAUGACAUAAUCUUAUAUACUGAAAAACUUAAAGGCUCUACCAAGAAUUCUUAGAACUGAUAAAUGAAUUCAGUAGAGUUGCAAGAUACAUAAUUAAUAUACGAAAAUCAGUAGCUUUUGUAGGCACAUACAAUGAACUAGCUGAAACAGAAAUCAACAAGGCAAUCCCAUUUACAAUAGUUACAAAACAAAUAAACUGCCCAGUAAUAAAUGUAACCAAGAAGGUGAAAGCCUGCUGUAAGGAAAACUACAAAACUUUGAUGAAAAAAAUUGAAGAGGAUACAAACAAAUAGAAAGACAUCCCCAUGCUUAUAGGUUGGAAGAAUUAAUAUUGUCAAAUGACAAUACUACCCAAAGCAAUCUACAGGUUCAAUGUAAUCCCUAUGAAAAUACCAAUGACAUUUUUCACAGAAAUAGAAAAAAAUCAUAAAUGUAUAUUAUACUACAAGAGACUUCGAAUAUCUAAAGCAAUUCCAAACAAAAAGAACAAAGUUGGAGGUAUCAAAUAAGAAGGGUGAGAAUGCCCCCUGGGCUGACCAAAGCCCACGGGCCACUGCAUCCCUUGCCAAGUGCCUACAUCCCACUGCCAUUGCUGCCAUCAUGCCCAAGACAAAGAUUGAAGGGGAUGCUAAAGGAGAUAAAGCCAAGGUGAAAGACGAACCACUGAGAAGAUCCGCGAGGUUGUCUACUAAACCUUCCAAAGCCAGAGCCCAAGCCAAAAAAGGCUCUCGAGAAGAAGGGAGAGAAGGUACCCAAUGGAAAAAGGGAAAAGCUGUUGCUGGCAAGGAGGGGAAUAACCCUGCAGAAAAUGGAGAUGCCAAAACAGACCAGGCACAGAAAGCUGAAGGUGCUGGAGAUGCCAAGUGAAGUGUGCACAUUUUUGAUAACUAUGUGCCUCUAGAGGUGACUGUAGAGUGUGAAAUACUCUUUUUAUCAAGUUUUAUAAAAAUGCAGCAUUUUGUUUCACUUUUUUUAAAAGCUAUGUUGUUAGCACACAGAACAAUUCAUUGUUGUUUUUGGGAAAAGAAUGUCCGUGAAGCUGGAUUGAUGUGGAGAAGACACCUUUCCCUUCUAGUUUUGAGAGACUUCCUCUUGGCUCCCAGGAGGAGGGAUUUCCUGACUUUGACACACAUGGCCACCUUGUCACAAAAGCCAUUAAAAACAAAUUCAUUUUUAUGUCCUCUUCUCCCUUUCAACCUUUCAGCAUAGACUUAACUCCCUUAAACCCAGACACCUGUUGGGAUGUGACCCCCCAGUAAUUGGUCACCAGUGUGUCAGGC